rnacentral:rRNA from 1 species
GAGUUUGAUCAUGGCUCAGAUUGAACGCUGGCGGCAGGCCUAACACAUGCAAGUCGAGCGGUAACAUUUCUAGCUUGCUAGAAGAUGACGAGCGGCGGACGGGUGAGUAAUGCUUGGGAACAUGCCUUUAGGUGGGGGACAACAGUUGGAAACGACUGCUAAUACCGCAUAAUGUCUACGGACCAAAGGGGGCUUCGGCUCUCGCCUUUAGAUUGGCCCAAGUGGGAUUAGCUAGUUGGUGAGGUAACGGCUCACCAAGGCGACGAUCCCUAGCUGGUUUGAGAGGAUGAUCAGCCACACUGGAACUGAGACGCGGUCCAGACUCCUACGGGAGGCAGCAGUGGGGAAUAUUGCACAAUGGGCGCAAGCCUGAUGCAGCCAUGCCGCGUGUGUGAAGAAGGCCUUCGGGUUGUAAAGCACUUUCAGUAAGGAGGAAAGGUUGGUGGUUAAUACCCAUCAGCUGUGACGUUACUUACAGAAGAAGCACCGGCUAACUCCGUGCCAGCAGCCGCGGUAAUACGGAGGGUGCGAGCGUUAAUCGGAAUUACUGGGCGUAAAGCGUACGCAGGCGGUUGAUUAAGCGAGAUGUGAAAGCCCCGGGCUCAACCUGGGAACUGCAUUUCGAACUGGUCAACUAGAGUGUGAUAGAGGGGUGGGUGGAAUUUCAGGUGUAGCGGUGAAACGCGUAGAGAUCUGAAGGAAUACUCGAUGGCGAAGGCAGCCACCUGGGUCAACACUGACGCUCAUGUACGAAAGCGUGGGGAGCAAACAGGAUUAGAUACCCUGGUAGUCCACGCCGUAACGAUGUCUACUAGAAGCUGGGGUCCUCGGACACUUUUUCAAGCUACGCAUUAGUAGACGCCCUGGGGAGUACGCGCAGUAAACUCAAUGAUGACGGGGCUCGCACAGCGUGAGCAUGUGUUAUCGAUGCAACGCGAGACUAACUACACUGACAUCAGAGAUCGCUAGAGAUAGCUUGUGCUCCGACUCUGAAACAGUGCUGCAUGCUGUCGUCAGCUCAUGUUGGGAAGUUACUAAGUCCGCACAAGCUACCGUCUAGUGCAGCAUAUGUGACUUAGACUGCGUUAACCGGACAGGUGGACUACGCUCAGCU